AUGGUGUAUCUCAUAUUGGAUCCAUCUACUUUUUUUGAUUGAUUUUAAUAGUAUUCUGGAUUCACCAUUGUCAUUAGUCAUUAAUUUAGUCUAGUUAAUAUUCUUUACUUGGACUUUAAAGAUUUUUUAAUACCUUUCUUUUGUUCUAUUCAUGACUCAAGUCUGGUCUGUAAAGAGACAUACUAAACAAGCUUACAUUUAUUAAUCAUUUUGGCAUGUACAUAGAUAUACAUAAAGGCAAUGUCUAGCUAUAAUUGUUUUUCUAUUGAUAUUUUCAGACUUAUUAUUGCUAACAAUUUUACAAGAUAUUGUAGGAAUGACCCUUAUAUGCAUUUAGUGAAAGAAACCACUUAUUACACCAAUCUUAAAAAAUAUUUCAAAAUCAGCUUAAGGAUAACAAGUAAUACAAAGUACUGUUUAGCAUCAUAAGCCAAAGACUUAAUGUACCUUAAUUUAUAACUGUUGCACAGAAAUUGAUGAAAUUCUAAAUAUUUAAUGAAUGAG